AUAUUAUUACAACUAAAUGGUGUAAACAAAUGAACAUAACAAAACAUAAUACGGUGUUUAUAGUGUGUACCAUAUGGUUAAAAGAAAAUGUACAGGACAAAAGUAAACUGGGAAUAAUAAAAAAGCGUGUAUUAAUCCUCAUGAUGGCGGCGAACUGCAAGUCGGAGAAGGCUACCAUGACAGAUGUAAUGUGUGCACGUGUCAAGAAAAUGGACAAAUCAAGUGUUCUGAUCGCAAGUGCAAACGUCGACGUGUCAUGCUUGAGGCUGUGUCAAUAAGUGAUAGAAAUACAAGGAAAAGAAAUGUCUUCGAAGUAGAUUUCAUCCAACUUUAGUGUGCAUGUUGCCAUUCAACUGAAGACAAGAAAUAAAAAUUUAUAUUCACA